AAACUGAAGGGUUUGAUCCUGGCUCAGAACGAACGCUGGCGGCGUGGCUAAGACAUGCAAGUCGAACGGACCAUCCAAUUGAGCAAUCGAGAGGGUGGUUAGUGGCGAAAGGGUGCGUAAUAGAUAGGUAACGUACCCCGGGCUUCGGAAUAGCGCCCCGAAAGGGGCGAUAAUACCGAAUAAUGUCAUAAUUCGCGUGAUUUAUGACCAAAAAUAUGUUGGCCUGGGAGCGGCCUAUCGCCUAUCAGCUUGUUGGUGAGGUAACGGCCCACCAAGGCUUUGACGGGUAGCGGGGCUGAGAGGUCGGCCCGCCUCAUCGGGACUGAGACACUGCCCGGACCUCCACGGAGGGCUGCAGUAACGAAUAU
rnacentral:rRNA from 1 species